UCUUUUAGCAACUAGCUCUCUGCAACUCUCACAUGAUGGCCCACUGAAGCUAAGCAGGGAUGCGCCCAGUCAGUACCUGGAUGGGAAACCAGAUGAGAAAGCUAGGUUGCUACCGGAA
ensembl:rRNA 5S_rRNA 5S ribosomal RNA